rfam:Stereum hirsutum FP-91666 SS1 unplaced genomic scaffold STEHIscaffold_24, whole genome shotgun sequence.
AGCUCGAUAGCGCAACGGUAGCGCAUCUGUUCCCGAUCUUAGAUUGAUGUAGACCUAAUGGUUGAUGGAAGAUCUCGGUUCGACUCCGAGUCGAGCUG